AGAGCCAUAUAAAACUAAGGAGAAACCAUUUUAGGAUGAGGGAACAAACCCUGAAGGUGUGAACAAGCUCGGUGCAUCUAGACAUGUAAGGAAGGUUCCAGCAUGUGAAGGAGCGAGGACGGAGAAGGGUCCGGUGAGGUCUUACAGCAACAGAGGGUCCAGCCACAUGAGGCUGAGCAGCCAAGUGAUCUGCCUAGGCCAGCUCCCCUUCAUCUUCUGCCAUGAGUGGAAGCAGCCUGAGGCCCUCACCAGAAGCAGAUGUUGGCACUAUGCUUCUUAGACAGCCUGCAAAACUGAAUACAACAAGAAGUCAACCGUCUGCAGCCUGUAAGAGGGCCUCUCACCAGAACUUAGCCAUGCUGGAACCCUAAUCCCAGACUUCCAGGCUUCAAAGUGAUGGGAAUUAAAUUUCUGUUGUUUAUAAGCCA
ensembl:lncRNA disrupted in schizophrenia 2